rnacentral:rRNA from 1 species
ACGGGUGAGUAAUGCCUAGGAAUCUGCCUGGUAGUGGGGGAUAACGCUCGGAAACGGACGCUAAUACCGCAUACGUCCUACGGGAGAAAGCAGGGGACCUUCGGGCCUUGCGCUAUCAGAUGAGCCUAGGUCGGAUUAGCUAGUUGGUGGGGUAAUGGCUCACCAAGGCGACGAUCCGUAACUGGUCUGAGAGGAUGAUCAGUCACACUGGAACUGAGACACGGUCCAGACUCCUACGGGAGGCAGCAGUGGGGAAUAUUGGACAAUGGGCGAAAGCCUGAUCCAGCCAUGCCGCGUGUGUGAAGAAGGUCUUCGGAUUGUAAAGCACUUUAAGUUGGGAGGAAGGGCAUUAACCUAAUACGUUAGUGUUUUGACGUUACCGACAGAAUAAGCACCGGCUAACUCUGUGCCAGCAGCCGCGGUAAUACAGAGGGUGCAAGCGUUAAUCGGAAUUACUGGGCGUAAAGCGCGCGUAGGUGGUUCGUUAAGUUGGAUGUGAAAUCCCCGGGCUCAACCUGGGAACUGCAUUCAAAACUGUCGAGCUAGAGUAUGGUAGAGGGUGGUGGAAUUUCCUGUGUAGCGGUGA